UAAACUCCUUUUGUGCUAUCUCCCUACAACUACACUGCUAGAUUUCACUCCAUCUAAUUGCAACUAUGCUUGCUGUGUAUGCUCUUUAGUUCCCCUUCUGGAUCAAGCAGCUGAUUUCUUCUGGCUUUAUACACACUAAGCUUAUUGUGACUUUGCAACACUGCCUGCGAUCCUUAUAUAGAUCUUAUACAGGAUCAUGCACAUGACCAUUUUCACCUCGGCGGUUUUCUGUGUUUGUCGCUAGUUGUGGGCAACUCGUGGUUGCAUAUUUUGACUGGAUAUCGCUCCCUCCCCUGAAGAAGCGGAAGUCCGCGAAACAUGUAGGGUCUAUGCGAUUUCCUUUUCCAGUUGCAUCCAU